UGCCCUAGUAACGGCGAGUGAAGCGGCAACAGCUCAAAUUUGAAAUCUGGCGUCUUUGGCGUCCGAGUUGUAAUUUGCAGAGGGCGCUUUGGCAUUGGCAGCGGUCCAAGUUCCUUGGAACAGGACGUCACAGAGGGUGAGAAUCCCGUACGUGGUCGCUAGCCUUUACCGUGUAAAGCCCCUUCGACGAGUCGAGUUGUUUGGGAAUGCAGCUCUAAAUGGGAGGUAAAUUUCUUCUAAAGCUAAAUACUGGCCAGAGACCGAUAGCGCACAAGUAGAGUGAUCGAAAGAUGAAAAGCACUUUGGAAAGAGAGUUAAAAAGCACGUGAAAUUGUUGAAAGGGAAGCGCUUGCAGCCAGACUUGCCUGUAGUUGCUCAUCCGGGUUUCUACCCGGUGCACUCUUCUAUAGGCAGGCCAGCAUCAGUUUGGGCGGUUGGAUAAAGGUCUCUGUCAUGUACCUCUCUUCGGGGAGAACUUAUAGGGGAGACGACAUGCAACCAGCCUGGACUGAGGUCCGCGCAUCUGCUAGGAUGCUGGCGUAAUGGCUGUAAGCGGCCCGUCUUGAAACACGGACCAAGGAGUCUAACAUCUAUGCGAGUGUUUGGGUGUCAAGCCCGAGCGCGUAAUGAAAGUGAACGGAGGUGGGAACCUUUCGGGGUGCACCAUCGACCGAUCCUGAUGUCUUCGGAUGGAUUUGAGUAAGAGCAUAGCUGUUGGGACCCGAAAGAUGGUGAACUAUGCUUGAAUAGGGUGAAGCCAGAGGAAACUCUGGUGGAGGCUCGCAGCGGUUCUGACGUGCAAAUCGAUCGUCAAAUUUGGGCAUAGGGGCGAAAGACUAAUCGAACUAUCUAGUAGCUGGUUCCUGCCGAAGUUUCCCUCAGGAUAGCAGUAACGUUUUCAGUUUUAUGAGGUAAAGCGAAUGAUUAGAGGCCUGGGGGUUGAAACAACCUU
rnacentral:rRNA from 1 species